GGAAAGGUGGCUCAGUGGUAGAGCGUUUGCCUCACAUGCAUGAAGCCCUGGAUUCUUUCUA
rnacentral:tRNA from 1 species